GCGAGGAGCUGCCAGCUCUGGCUAAGGAGGUGGCGAGAGUGGAAACUGUUCGAGCUUAUGCUGAUACAGUAUUGAAGCUUGACACUUUAGUUGGUGAUAUUGAAGAUGCUGUAUCUUCUGCUAUAAACAAAAACCUAAGGAAGCAGUCCUCUACACAGAGUUCAGAAGAAAUGCGCCUCCUUGCAAUUGAAACACUUGGACAAACAGAAAAUGUUUUAACUUCAAUCACAAAGACACGGCCUCAGUGGACACAUCUUGUAUCUGCAGUUGAUCACAGAGUAGAUAGAGCUUUGGCCAUUUUAAGACCCCAGGCAGUUGCAGAUCAUCGGUCCCUUCUUGCUUCCCUUGGAUGGCCUCCACCACUUUCCACCAUGACUUCCUCAAACCUUGACACAGGGAAAUCAACUGAAGUUCCGAAUCCUCUCUUCACAAUGCAAGGGGACCUCAAACACCAGUACUGCGAAAGCUUUCUUGCAUUGUGCCACUUGCAAGAGUUGCAGAGACGAAGAAAAUCUCGGCAACUUGAGGGCCAUAAUAGGGAAGUUGCUCUGCACCAACCACUUUGGGCAAUUGAAGAACUUGUGAAUCCAAUAUCCAUUGCAUGCCAAAGACAUUUUUCAAAGUGGACUGAUAAGCUGGAAUUCAUUUUUGCUCUCGUGUAUAAGAUUACAAGGGAUUAUGUUGACACUAUGGAUGAAUUAUUGCAACCGCUAGUUGAUGAAGCAAGGCUAGUAGCGUACAGUUGCAGAGAAGAAUGGAUUUCAGCAAUGGUAACCUCUUUAUCAACAUACUUAGCGAAAGAGAUAUUCCCUAUUUAUGUCAGUCAACUAAAUGAAGAGAGCACUGCUGGCGUUCAAUCACGGGCCAGAAUAUCAUGGCUUCAUCUUGUUGACUUGAUUAUUGCUUUUGAUAAAAGAAUUCAGUCUCUGGUAACACAUUCUGGAAUCAUGCUUUCCCUUGAGGAAAAUGAAAACUUGCAGAAGAUUUCUUCUCUGUCUAUGUUCUGUGACCGACCUGACUGGCUUGAUCUAUGGGCAGAAAUAGAGCUUAUUGACACACUUGAGAAACUAAAACCUGAGGUGGAAAAUGAGCGAAAUUGGACAGUGAAAAUUCAAGGAGCUGCUCUUUUAUCUGAUCCUGAAAAUUACAAAUCUCCUGCAGUUUCUGGUGCCUUCCUUCGGCG
rnacentral:misc_RNA from 1 species